CUAAUAGCGUCGACUUCCCCUUGUUUCGCAAGCUUUUUUAUAUCCCUCUUCAUUUUCAUCUCCUCCCGCUCAA
rnacentral:tRNA from 1 species